GGCAACAGCUCAAAUUUGAAAUCUGGCCCCCUCGGGGCCCGAGUUGUAAUUUGGAGAAGAUGCUUCAGGUGUGGCCCCGGUCUAAGUUCCUUGGAACAGGACGUCACAGAGGGUGAGAAUCCCGUA
rnacentral:rRNA from 1 species